UGGUCAGAGGGAGGUGUUCUCAUAUGUGUCUGGAAGCAGCUAGCAAGCUAGCCAGUUAGCUUGGGUGCUUGACUACCUUUGGGACCCACCCUGCUACUUGGACAGAGUGGGCAGUGUGCGCUCUAAAUUGGUCUGACUUUACCAACACAGCUGCAAAAACACUGGCUACGCGAGUACAUUGAUAGAAUGUGUAUGUCUGCUUUGAUGGCAGGUUUGAAACUUGUUAUACCGAAGCGUAGUGUGUGGGGGCAUUGGUCAUUGUAGGGGCGAUAGAGCUUGAAAUUGGCUAAAUGUACGAAAGGAAAAGUGUUAUAUUUGGUGGGGAUAGAAUCAAAAGCGAUAUGACUACUACCCAUAUCUUUGAAAAUGGGACCAGUAACGAUUCCCGGUUAUUUUACAUAGGGAUUGGUGUGGAACUGAUUUUGACGAGAGCAUGAACAACGUUAACAAAUAGUCCAACUUUGUAUCAUGCUUCGUUGAAACAAUCGCUAAGGAUGUACAUUUGAGGGUUCAGUAUGUAGGAAAUGUGUUAUUUGCGUAAAAAGACAAACUCAUAUGCCAGACAUCACCACAUGAGUAAAGUAUUUGGCAGAGCAGGGUCACAAAGCAUCAUAUUGGAAUGUACAAUCAGCGAAGCAAGAGAACAUAUUUGGGGAUUUCGAUUUCGGAAGUCACGAAGCACAUGACCGAGUAGGAACAAUGCGUUCUUUGGCACGACCAAACACUCCUCGCAGACUCAGGAAAACCCUAGGGGGUUUAAUCUCGUGAGACAUUUUAUUUUGGUUUACCCUGAAUAGAUGUAUAGAAUUGACGAAAUUGAGGAGGGGUCACAAGAAGACAAAAACGGUUCAUUAUUUCCCGAGGUUGUUGCCUGGGAGAGCAGUUCAUGAAAUUCUGUUGUUUUAUAAAGGUGUACUGACCUGGCCGUAUAGGGAGCUCCCAGAUAAGUAAGUCCUGGCCAUUUCUUUGUUUUUGCCCUACGUUUUACCACACACACCAGCACCAAAACUCAAAUGUUAUCAAUAUGUGUUAAGUGGUGUUAAUACUGUUUGAUCUAUUUAGUUGUAAACUGGGUACGCAGAAUGAUGGAAAUGUUUGAAAUGGUUCUAAAUGGUUUCUGAGAUACAGGGAAAGAAAAGGGGGAACAAAACACUUAAUGCGUUUGAAUGACCUUUGUGACUUCCUGGUGAAGCCUGAUCACCCUCACUAGAAAGACUGCAGACAUCGGGUGAGAUUUAAAAUGGGCUAUGUAAACACUAAUAAUUAUGAAGAAGCUUAUAAUUUAGCAAUUGUCCUAUGUGUGAUUUGGAACAUGAGAAGGAGAGCGAAUGAGCAGGCAGUGUUUUUAAUACCCGGGGGCCCUUUGAUUGGAUCUGCUGCAUGGUCGGGAUUUCUCCUUAAGGGUUAGGCGAUAGUGACUACAGAUGGUAUUUUGAUGCAUGGAAGGAAUAAAUCGACAAACCGUGUGAACACCCCCCCCAACUGGCUGAAGAAAUGGUGACACGUGUUCACUACGACCCUGUCCUGCACCACUUCUACCGUGAGACCUGAGUCCAAGCUAGCAACCUGUACACAGCAUCCAGUCGAAGUUUUCAACUGCCUUCUUCUCUCAUGCCAUUUUCUCUCAGGAGUGCGACAUGAGUCCACGUGGAGUGAGCUCCUGUCCAAACUCCUAUCAUGCCGCUGGUGUACUGGUAGACAAAUGACAGUGGCGGCUCAGGUGAGAGACAUUAUCAAGGGCCAUCCACUUUGGGCAUGUGCCAUUGGAGGACAAACCGACGCUAUCUGAAGAAGAACAUGAAGACACGCCAGAAGGAUGAGUGCGGGGGAAGAGGGGGUGGUUAACCGUGCCGUAAUUAAUUUAGGCUUAUCCUAAAUUGUUUAUUUGGUAUAUCAGGUUGAUUGUGGAUGUCUGGACACUGCAAAAUGUAUAGUAAUUUAGACUAAGAAUGCAUUGAGACACCAAUCUGUCAUUACCACAAGUGUUGAGAAUAGUUAAUGCUGGGAAUAUGAAAUGAAUAUACUGUUUAUCUGCUGACUGCCACGUAUUCAAAAAAGAUGUACUUCUCUAUAAAAGCUGAGACCCGACACUUUUCGUUGGGCCUUAACUGCGCAACUGUUGAAGUGAAUAGUUAACUUCUCCAUUUUUGCUAAUCUUAUAAUAAAGAAUACAGUCUCUCUCCUUUUGGUUAGAAAUGGCCACAAUGUCUCAAAGCUCAAGCCAACUAAAAGGUGGCAUAAUGUCAGGUGAAUCCUCUUACUAUAAACUUAGUCCCACCUA